GGCAAGAUGGCCGAGUUGGUCCAAGGCGUCAGGUUAAGGUCACCUUGGCAUACAGCUUAUACAAAGCUUCCUGAUCAUCGUUUGAUGGCGUGGGUUCGAAUCCCACUCUUGUCA
rnacentral:tRNA from 1 species